CUCCUUUGAAUAAACCUGCCCACCACCAAGAACCCAUACAUGACUUUCUUUUCAUUGUAUCAAAGUAAUGUGUCCACCGGUGUGAGCACCAGCAACUCACUUCUUCCUCAGACAUCUCUAAAGCUGGAAAGAUUUUGAGGGACAAUAUGGUUUCCUUCACCCCACCCCAAUGUUAUGAAUGAGACCAGCAGACCAACAGCAAACACCUAGAAGGAACAGCUGUUCUUCAUGGGUGACUGCUGUGAAACCAACAGGAUGGCCUCUUUUCUAUUUAAUUCUAAGAGUGGGCAUAAGUUCUGGAGGCUGGGAAGUUCAAGAUUGAGGGGCCACAUCUGGUAAAAUAUUGGGUAGGUCCUUUGGAGUUCUAGACUCAGUUUGAGAUUACAGAAGAUAUGCUCAACAUCCUCCUUUGACCUGGUCCCAGUUUCACCAUAUUUGAUAGAUGCUUUAUAGUCUCUGGUAAGGAGGUGUACAAUUCUCUGAUUUUAUUACAGUUUUUAGGGAAUUUUAUUUUGUUCAUUUCAACAAGAAAAAUUACAUAAACAGGUAACAGCUCCACUAAAAGCUGUUUUAAAUGAACAAAAUAUUGGACUUUGUGAACAAAUAUGAUACUUUUUCUUUCUGCAAUUAUUGGCUAGCAAUCUUAUUUUACUAAAUCUAUACUGACAAAUUUAAUUUGGUCCAUUUAUUUGAGUUUAAAGACUAUUUCAAACUCUCCCCAGUGAAACAGUCAUGGGCCAUUGCUAUCCUCAAAAGAACUAAAUAUAUAAGUAGCAGCUUUCCUCAAAAAAGAUGAUAAAGUCUUCUUUUCCCUUUAGAGCAUAAAUUUCAGUGGCAGGUAAAACUAUUUUAGCAACAAUAUGCUCGCUUCUUCCAUGAUAUCUUUUUCUUCCCUACUAAGUUGAAAGUUUUUCUCAGUUUCCAUAGCCACUCACAAGUUUUUCUCUACCUAACUGAAGUUGCCCUCUUCUGCUGGUCAUUAGGACAUUAACUUUUAGAAUGAUUUCUGUUUCAGCCUCUUGUUUUGAAGGCAGGCUUUUAAUUUCCUCAGAGAAAUUGCAAUGGAACGAAAAUUUGUUCUCUCUUUUACAUAUGUACACUUGUAUAAGAGAUGUAAUGUUUUUAAAUAAAAUUUUUAAUUCAUGCAAAAGCAUGUCUC